UUGAAUUUGUGCUUGUGCGAGGCUUU
rnacentral:piRNA from 1 species